rnacentral:rRNA from 1 species
CAGUAGCCGCGGUAAUACGAAGGGGGCUAGCGUUGCUCGGAAUUACUGGGCGUAAAGGGCGCGUAGGCGGACAGUUAAGUUGGGGGUGAAAGCCCGGGGCUCAACCUCGGAAUUGCCUUCAAUACUGGCUGUCUUGAGUACGGGAGAGGUGAGUGGAACUCCGAGUGUAGAGGUGAAAUUCGUAGAUAUUCGGAAGAACACCAGUGGCGAAGGCGACUCACUGGCCCGUUACUGACGCUGAGGCGCGAAAGCGUGGGGAGCAAACAGGAUUAGAUACCCGAGUAGUCCCUGUCUCUUAAAC